CGGGGUAUAGCGCAGCCCGGUUAGCGCACCUGUUUUGGGAACAGGGGGCCGCAAGUUCGAAUCUUGCUACCCCGACCA
rnacentral:tRNA from 2 species